rnacentral:sRNA from 1 species
CUUAUAAAAACAUAAUACAUAUAUAGCCAUGCUUUUUGGAAUUUGUUUUCGAAAAGGCAAGAUAUAAAUGGGAAGGAAUUUCGAGAGAGAGAGAGAGAGAUAAAAGAAUGAAAACAUAAAAACGUGGCAAACGGGUGUGUGAUAGUGGACAAGAAACG